GUCGAGCGGCGGACGGGUGAGUAAUGCCUAGGAAAUUGCCCUGAUGUGGGGGAUAACCAUUGGAAACGAUGGCUAAUACCGCAUGAUGCCUACGGGCCAAAGAGGGGGACCUUCGGGCCUCUCGCGUCAGGAUAUGCCUAGGUGGGAUUAGCUAGUUGGUGAGGUAAUGGCUCACCAAGGCGACGAUCCCUAGCUGGUCUGAGAGGAUGAUCAGCCACACUGGAACUGAGACACGGUCCAGACUCCUACGGGAGGCAGCAGUGGGGAAUAUUGCACAAUGGGCGCAAGCCUGAUGCAGCCAUGCCGCGUGUGUGAAGAAGGCCUUCGGGUUGUAAAGCACUUUCAGUCGUGAGGAAGGUAGUGUAGUUAAUAGCUGCAUUAUUUGACGUUAGCGACAGAAGAAGCACCGGCUAACUCCGUGCCAGCAGCCGCGGUAAUACGGAGGGUGCGAGCGUUAAUCGGAAUUACUGGGCGUAAAGCGCAUGCAGGUGGUUUGUUAAGUCAGAUGUGAAAGCCCGGGGCUCAACCUCGGAAUAGCAUUUGAAACUGGCAGACUAGAGUACUGUAGAGGGGGGUAGAAUUUCAGGUGUAGCGGUGAAAUGCGUAGAGAUCUGAAGGAAUACCGGUGGCGAAGGCGGCCCCCUGGACAGAUACUGACACUCAGAUGCGAAAGCGUGGGGAGCAAACAGGAUUAGAUACCCUGGUAGUCCACGCCGUAAACGAUGUCUACUUGGAGGUUGUGGCCUUGAGCCGUGGCUUUCGGAGCUAACGCGUUAAGUAGACCGCCUGGGGAGUACGGUCGCAAGAUUAAAACUCAAAUGAAUUGACGGGGGCCCGCACAAGCGGUGGAGCAUGUGGUUUAAUUCGAUGCAACGCGAAGAACCUUACCUACUCUUGACAUCCAGAGAACUUUUCAGAGAUGAAUUGGUGCCUUCGGGAACUCUGAGACAGGUGCUGCAUGGCUGUCGUCAGCUCGUGUUGUGAAAUGUUGGGUUAAGUCCCGCAACGAGCGCAACCCUUAUCCUUGUUUGCCAGCGAGUAAUGUCGGGAACUCCAGGGAGACUGCCGGUGAUAAACCGGAGGAAGGUGGGGACGACGUCAAGUCAUCAUGGCCCUUACGAGUAGGGCUACACACGUGCUACAAUGGCGCAUACAGAGGGCAGCAAGCUAGCGAUAGUGAGCGAAUCCCAAAAAGUGCGUCGUAGUCCGGAUUGGAGUCUGCAACUCGACUCCAUGAAGUCGGAAUCGCUAGUAAUCGUGGAUCAGAAUGCCACGGUGAAUACGUUCCCGGGCCUUGUACACACCGCCCGUCACACCAUGGGAGUGGGCUGCAAAAGAAGUAGGUAGUUUAAC
rnacentral:rRNA from 1 species